rnacentral:RNase_P_RNA from 1 species
GAGGAAAGUCCGGACACCAUGGAAUCGCGGGACCGGGUAAUCCCCGGAAUUCUUCUCUUUCAAAAGAAGGGAAGGGUAUGGAAAGUGCAGCAGAAAAUAAACCGCCUCGAAUUCGUUCGAGGUAAGGGUGAAACGGCGGGGUAAGAGCCCACCGCCAUUCUUGUGAAAGAAUGGGCAAGGUAAACCCUCCCCGGUGCAAUCCCGAAUAGGCGACCGUCAGUUGCGGAUUCCGCAAGGUCGUGGGUAGGGAGCAAAGAGUUCGAUCGGUAACUUUCGAACCAAGAUAAAUGAUCAUCGUCGGAAAGCUUCGAGAGAGGCCUUCCGAUACAGAAUCCGGCUUA